CCCUUAGAUGUUCUGGGCCGCACGCGCGCUACACUGAUUCAUGCAACAAGUUUUGUCCUUGGCUGAUAGGCCUGGGUAAUCUUUGAACGUGAAUCGUGAUGGGGAUAGAUGAUUGCAAUUAUUCAUCUUCAACGAGGAAUUCCUAGUAAACGCAAGUCAUCAGCUUGCAUUGAUUACGUCCCUGCCCUUUGUACACACCGCCCGUCGCACCUACCGAUUGAAUGGUCCGGUGAAAUCUUCGGAUCUGAGAGAUGUCUGAUUAAUUUCGGACGCCUUUUGGAAAAGUUGUCUAAACCUUACCAUUUAGAGGAAGGUGAAGUCGUAACA
rnacentral:rRNA from 1 species